rnacentral:rRNA from 1 species
UACUAAUGCAACUGCGAAUAGCUGUUUAAUACAGUCGUAAUUGUAUUGACUUAGUAUAAUGUUAAUAAUAGUUAUUUAUAGGAUAACUAAGGGAAAGUUUGGCUAAUACGUUUUAACAGUAUUAUAAUUCUUAAUACACAUAUAAUAAUAUUAUAAUAUGAUAAAUAUUAUAUAAAUAUUUUAAUACAUUUAUUUGUAUUAAUAUAUAGAGUUGACUUUAUAAUAUUUAUUUAUUAUAAAGCAUGUCAAACAAGCAUCUAUAGCAUCAAGUCACAAUGUUGGCAUGUGUAUUAUUGAACCUUCAAAGCAUUUACGCAUUCGGAGGAGUAGUUUCUGAUCCCGUCGAAGGUGCCUGAGAGACGGCACUUAGUUCUAAGGAACGCAGCAGGCGCGUAAAUUGCCCAAUGACAAAACAUGUUAUAAUAAAAUAUAUAAUGUAUAUAUAUUGAAUACUCAAUAUUUAAUUGAGGCAGUGACAAGCUGUAAAGAUUGAAUAUAUUAAUUAAGAUAACAUUUGGAAUUGUCGUUUUAUAAUAUUUUUUAAUAUUAUAUUACUUGAUAAUAUACCAAUGUUAUAAAAUAUUCAAUUUGAAUGCGGUGAAUGUAAUAAUUUCAAGUAACAUGUAUAAAAUAUUUAUAUUUUAUUAGUUAUCUGAAUUUUCAAGUGGAGGGCAAGUCUGGUGCCAGCAGCCGCGGUAAUACCAGCUCCACUAGCUUAUACAAUCAUUGUUGCGGUUAAGAGGCUCGUAGUUGGAUUGAAUAAAACAUAUAUACACAAUACUGUGAACAAACCAGAGUGUAUAAAACAUGUAAUAUAUUAUAUAUUUAGCAAUGAAUGUUUUAUCAUGGAAUAUUGCUAUAAUGAAUAUUAAUAUCGAUGGAGAUAGUUGGAGUUAAGAGUACUGAUAGGCGAGCGGUGAAAUGCAUUGACCCUAUUAAGACUAACAAAAGCGAAAGCACUUAACUAGAUUAUUCUCUUUGUAUUAUUUUACAAUGAAGAGCGAAGGUUGGGGGAACAAAGAGGAUCAGAUACCCUCGUAGUCCUAUUUUUACAUCAAACUAUGGGAUUUCAUUCACACUAAACACUAAACAUUAUAAUUAUAAUUAUGAUUGAGUAUAUGUCAAAAUAUUACUCUCAUAUUAAAUAAUUAUUAUAUAUAUGAUUAUAUGUACUUUGAGCUCAUAUAAUUAUAUAGGUGAGAUGUAAGCAUUAUAAAGUGAAUAAUAUACAAGUAAUAUUGUAUUAUUAUGAUCUUUAAAAUAAAAAAUGUAAUGUGAUGCACGUUUUAGGUACGAGCUUACUAUAGAAAUANNNNNNNNNNNNNNNNNNNNNNNNNNNNNNNNNNNNNNNNNGAAACUUGAAGGAAUUGACGGAAGGGCACCACAAGAACGCGUGGAGCAUGUGGCUUAAUUUGACUCAACCCGGGAAAUCUUACCAGGUCCAGACAUAUUGAGGAUUGACAGGCGAUAGUAUAUAAUUCAUUUAUAUGCAUAAAAAUGAUAGUCCUUUCAUGAUUAUAUGAUAGGUGGUGCAUGGCCGUUCUUAGUUCGUGGAGUGAUUUGUCUGCUUAAUUGCGUUUCAGUAAAUAAAAUAUAUAAUAUAUUAUAAUAUUUAGUUCUGCCUUGAAUAUUAUUCAAGGAUUUAAAGUGAACAUAUUAUAUAUAUUAUUAUAUAAUAAAUGAAUGC